rnacentral:rRNA from 1 species
CCUACGGGAGGCAGCAGUGAGGAAUAUUGGUCAAUGGGCGGAAGCCUGAACCAGCCAAGUAGCGUGCGGGAUGAAGGCCCUACGGGUCGUAAACCGCUGUUGCACGGGGAUAACACCCGCCACGUGUGGAGGUCUGCAGGGACCGGGCGAAGAAGGGCCGGCUAAUUCCGUGCCAGCAGCCGCGGUAAUACGGAAGGCCCGAGCGUUAUCCGGAUUGAUUGGGCUUAAAGGGAGCGUAGGCGGGCGUUCAAGUCAGCUGUAAAAUCGCGCGGCUCAACCGCGCCCCGCCGUUGAAACUGGACUCCUUGAGUUCACUACAGGCAGGCGGCAUUCGUGGUGUAUCG